UCCACAGGAAGACCAACAGCGUCAACUAGCCAGGACCCUUGGGGCUCUCAGAGUCUGAUCCGCCAACCAAAGAACUUACACGGGCUGGACCUAGGCCCCCUGCACAUAUGUAGCUUGGUCUUCAUGUGGGUCCUGAACAACUGGAGCAGGGCUGUCCCAAAAGCUGUUGACUGCACAUGCGAUAUGUUCUUCUAGCUGGGCUGCCUUGUCAGCUGGAGAGGAAGCAACUAGCCUCCAAGAGACUUGAAGUGCCAGCUCUGUCAGUCUCCCUUGGGGAAAAUGAUGUUCAUGGUCUUUCCCUUCGUGGAGUAGUCAAAGGUUGUAUAUUCUAAGUACAGGAAAGAAAGCUUUCAGGGCUUCUUCAAGAGCAAUGACAACAGGCAGUAAGGCCGGAGUUCACCUCCAUACAGAGCCAGGCUGCAGCCACGUGAGAGUCCCCAGCAAAGCCCAGGCUACUGGACCAAGGACAUGCUGUUGUGGAAGAGAGACUCUGUAUUUGUGAUAAUAGGAAAGAAGAAAAGGCUUUGGAUCCCUUCCACGGUGAUAUGGAUCAGAUAUGACAGGGGAAGACCCCUUGGAGAUACUGGCUACAGAAAAGAAAAAUUCAAAAACAUCAAAAGUGACAGCUAACUUGAUUUGCUUGAUUCCUACACUUGGGAACAGCCCUGUAACUGAAUUAGACAUAAAAAUGUCUCUAGCCAAAACUUCAGCUAAAAUUAGAUAAUAAAUCCCGUUGGUUAUGGAAUCCUUCAUCGUGCCAUCCUUCACAUGGCACGAAGGAUGAUUCAUUACAAUUGGUCAUUGACCAAAUUAACUCAUAAAGGGAUAGUUGUCUUGAACCUCCCAAACAAGGAGCAAAAAUUCAUCCUUGCAUAAUCCAUUCGAAUAUCUUAAUAGCACUAAAAUUUUGGUUGUAAGAUCCAUAUAUUACAGAAUGUACACCUCUGACAAAAUUCAUCCACCAGAACACUAAAAUGACCUGCUGCUCCAGAUUCCUGCCUCCCAAAACAGUACCAGGAAUAGCUGCAGAUUCCUGAUAACCUCGGUUCAUCCAGCUUUGCAGAAAGAGCCAGUCAGAACUUCAGUCAAAUCCUGAGCCUUCUAAGCAUACAGAGACUGGAUAACUGGCUAACAGAUGCUAAAGCUAGCUUUCUUAAGUACUACCAAUUUUUCUAAUUUUCCUACUCCUCUGCACCACGUUAAAAAAUAUUUGUCACCCCUAUUCAGCAGGAAAAAGUUGAGGAAAGUCAUCAUCCUGAUCCCUUGGGUUUGGGUGUCUGGUUAUGAUUAUUUUAUAAAUUAUAGACAGGUUGUCGUUUUAAGGCAUAAUUUGGAAAUGGUCAUAAUUUUGAACAGGAGAAAAUAGAUGGGACAGAUUACUAAAUUUAUUCUUGAACAAAACAUUAUAUAGCCAUAACCUUACAUUGAUAGAAAUAUUUAUAAUUGAUGCAAAAUUGAAGUUAUAAUUUCUUACAUUAGUACAGAAUUCAUAUAUUGAUACAUAUUUAAGAUUUUCUUUGGUGUAAAACUUUGUAUAUUGAUACAAAAUUUAAAAUUAAUUUUGUUACUCUUAGAUAGGCAUUGUGCCUAUGCAACUCAUUUAAGAACACAAGGCCUUGGCCAUUCACUAUUACAAACCAUUUAGGAUGAUUGAGUAACACAAGUUAGGGGCCAGAUAGUAAACUCAUGGUUAUAUCAGAUUCUAAUUUAAUUAUAAUAAAGUGUUUUCAAUACUAUUCAAAUAGAAAUAGCUUACAGCAGUCAAGGUUUAACUGUUCAGAUAUACUUGAUAGUCUUCAAAAACAUCAGAAAUCCACAGAAUAUAGCAUUUAUAAUCAUUUCAUUAUUACUAGGUUUUUGACUAAAAGACACAUCAGCUCCUGCGGUACCCCCUUCAUGGUUCAAAGAAGACACUGAGUAUCAUAGCCUCCAUAUGGAGUUGCUCCAGUUGUGGCAAGGGAGCCACUGGGCAAGAAUUGCCCUAAUUCAUCCAUAGACAAAAAUACAGUCUAGGAAAGAACAAAUGAUGCAAGAUAGUGGAUAGCUUAGCCCUUCUAAGGCAGGGUAAGCUAGUCCCUCAUAGUUCUUGCUUCACUUAAGCUCUAAAAGAUGGUUCUGGGACAGAAGACUGAAGACAGAUGUUCCUAUGUUCUGAGGAAUAGGGGAUUGUUCAGGUAAUCAGCUGCCUCUACAAAUUGGUUAAGUUUUGGAAGCUAUGUUUUUGAACUUCCUAUACAGAUAAUAUUUAAUUCAUUCUCAGAUCUCUGACAAUAUGAUGACUCUCAAUUUGUCUCAUAAUAAGACUUAAGUUGUUUAGCAUUGAGGGAGAUGAUGUAGAUUUGAAAGGAUGAUUUUCAGAUGGUAAUAUAAGUUAAAAUCAGAACAUAAUUCAGGGAUAGGCUUGUAAACUCUUUAAGUUAGGAUAAAUGUUAGAAUAAUGUACCUACAUUGACAAAAUUGAUGGACUGGACGUUACUAGUGUAUAUCAUAUCUUAUUGUUUACAUAACUGCUAUGACUGUGUUCAGUGUAUAUCUGAGAGAAGGGGUCUUUUUAAUGGGUGUUGGUUUAUUGCUUAUACUAUGUUAAUUGAUUUCCCAAAUUACAAGAGAAUUUGCACAGCUGUGUGUGAGACCCUGACAGUCCUUGCCCCCAGCUGGUUCUAAUUGGUAAGUUAAGUUGCUGUUGGCCAAUGGUUGAACAGGGAGAUGGAGGCAGGACUUUGAGGUUCCUGGGCAAGGAAUGCAAGGGAGGAGGAAAGUUGCCAUGCCAGGGAAGGAGUAGGAUGCAAGCAUGAGAGCUGCAGAAGACAGAGGACCAGCCAUGUGAAAAUUGAGAAAGAGCAGCCCCAGAGGCCACACCCUCUAUUGGGUCUGGGGUAGCAGAGAUGAAAUAUAGAUUUCAGUAAGUAAUAAUUCAGGAAUAUCAGAGGGGAGGUGUUAGCAACUCAGAAGUUUGUGAGUGGCCCUGCCACUGGGCUGCUUAGGGCAUAUUAAAAAUAAAACGCUCUCCCUCUCUCUCUCUCUCUCUCUCUCUCUCUCUGUGUGUGUGUGUGUGUGUGUGUGUGUGUGUGUGUGUGUGUGUGCGUGUGUGUGUGUGUCUUUCAUUGUGAAUCCAAAAAACUUGGGUGGGUAGCAAUGAGCACUCACACACCCACAGUGGAGUUUAGAGCAGAUUAACAUACUACCACUUCCAUCACCAGGCAAUGACCUUCAUUCCUCCCAUUUAUAUUCCUACUUCUCUCUGUCCCCAUGUAGUCACUGAUGGCUUUGCCAUUUAAUGUAACUACAUCCCCUCUCAUUCAUGUCCCUCUAAGCGAGAAUAAGAUGGCCUUUCCCAGGAUUCCUGGUAAGCAUAUUCCUGGUUUGCAUGUCAUUGGCUUAUUUCUGAACUAAUCAUUGAGACCAAAAGAAUUGAUCAUAAAACACUGCAGCAGCAACAGUGUUCCAUAAUAGCUUCCCCUUCCCUAAGGGAGCUCACUUCUGUCUACUUAGAAAACUUUGCACUGGAGCGAGGGACAAUGUGGAUAUUUCAAGCAUAUCUACAUUGAGGUUAAUACUCAAGAGCCCAAAGUGCUCUCUAGUUUCAUACUAGAAAAGGUGGUCACAAAAGAACCAAACAGUAAACGUGGUUAUGCUCCAUGUCUGCUCACAGGGGUGGGCGGCACUCAGGACUGUCCAGUGUACUCAUGUUUCUCAUUGGAAUGGAUAUACUUGGAGGUAAGCAGAAUGGAAUGCUUUCAUUGGUUCCUUAAUCUGUGGAGUAUGUUACUUAGGGAGAAAGGCCAAAUAGAAUUCUCUGAAACUGCCCAAGUUCCUAACAGUGGGAGUGCAUGAGCACUAUGACUGCUUCAUGGGGAAAUGACACAGAUUGGUGUUGACCUGAAAAACUAUUCUAAUGUAAAGCUUAGUCAUAGCCCCAUCCACUUUGACCUUGGCAAAAACAAACAAACAAAAAACAAGCAAAAAGAUGAAACAUGGCAGAUGACAGUAGACUAUCACUACACUCAGUCAAGUCAUCUGUUAGAGCAGACUGGCCUGGCCUCCAUGGUACAUAACCAAGGCUGCAUUGGUAUUCAUUCCUAUCAUGAAGAAAAUGCAUAGCUCACAUGCACAGGAUAGAAAAUUCAACACAGUUGCAGUCUCACUCCAGGGCUGUGCCAAACUGCUUGCCUCCUGGCAUUGUUGGCUGCUUCUCUCCAUGCUGUGAUAAAACCCGACAGAAGCAAUUUAAAGGAAGAGAGCUUUGUUUUGGCUCACGGUUUUGUAGAGAACAGUCAGUCCAUCUUGGUGGAAAAGGCAUGAUGGGCAGAACAGUGUGUUCAGUAGUAACAGGAGCUUUUGGCACAAUUUGGUUAUAUCUUGAUGGAUCUGGAAAUGAAAAUUUCCAGCCAACACCAGGAGCAGAUGUCAGUUUCCAAGCCUGUUUUGAACUCUGUGACCUACUUCUGCUAACAAAGCCACAUAUCCCAAGGGCUUCACAACCUUCCAAAACAGUGGCGCCAGCUGGGGACCAAAUGUUGAAACACAUGCAUGUGUGGAGAACACUUCAGACUCAAAUUAUAGUAGGUGGUAUGGUAUGGUAUGGUAUGGUAUGGUAUGGUAUGGUAUGGUAUGGUAUGGAAUAAUAUGGUAUAGUAUAGUAUAGUAUAGUAUAGUAUAGUAUAGUAUAGUAUAGUAUAGUAUAGUGGCACCCAGACUGUUGAGAUGUUCUAAAAAACACAAGUAAGGUCUCCUGUAUCAGUGUCAUAAUACUUAAAACUGAUGAUCAAGAGUUGAAAGUACAGCAUGCUAAGAUGUAUAAAUUUUGAAGGAUGAAAGUCAAAACCUAAAGAGAUACAGGAGGCAUGUGUCCAGAGAGUAUAGAUUGUUCCAGGGCAUGCUAGAAUAUCCCCUUCUGUAGGAAUGUUUGCAUUUUACACUUCUCACUACUAAGACGUAAUCAUACUUGGUAUGGUUUUACAAAGUCUGAUAGAGAUUGCCUACAAUGGAACAGAGACCAAAAACCGAUGUGACAGUCCGCUGGCUAUGAUAUACGGUGACGACAGAACAGUGGCUAUAUGUAGAACCAACAGCAUGGACUUACAUUCACUAAAAUGGUUUACCUACUGCCACUGAUACACUCUGCCAACCCCAAAGACAAUUUCCCUGAUAUGGCACCAUCCUUGAGGGAAACCAGAUGACCAGAUCUUUCCACCUAAAGGCAGAAAUGUAUCCCAUAUAAAACAAGAGACGUUUUAAUGUAAGUUUGCCCUUCCCACUUUAGGACUUUAGCCAGGAUCACCAAUCAAAUACUUACAGUGCUUGACUCUUCUAUACUGAAUACUGUCAGGUCCAAAAGAAAACUCAGAACAAAUGACUAACAGUGGUGCUUAUUAGCAUACCAAAGCACAUGUUAGCCUCCAGCCUCACUCAGUAACUGUGGCCCUUCUCAGCUCCUCUCACCUCUUUUCACCCUUCCCCCUACUCUAAACUUCUCCAGCCCAUGGGUUUCUCUUUCCCCAUCUUCUCAUUCCUGUAUAAGCUUGCCAUUUUGACCAUACACUCUCUUGUUUUUGUUCUCUCUAGGCUCUCUUCCUCUUGCCCCUCUCUCUUGGUCCUCUGUCUCGCUUUCCAUGCACCCCUCUCCUUUAUUGCCCAGACCAUUCUGUCCACGUUAGUCUUCUACUUUCCCUACCUCUCUAGACUUUUCCAGGUGCCUCAGGCUGUUCCCUCCCUCCUGCUUACAAUAAAAACCUUCAACCAUACCUUGAAGCAGUCAUGGCCUCACUUUACAUAUCUGGUGUCAAAACACCCACAUAGCAUUGUCUCCUUAUGAAAAGCCCACCCUCUGAGAAUGGGAUGAACCACCCUGCCUCUAUUUUAGGUGUAAAAGUCAUCUUACAAUAAAGACAAACUCGGCUCAUUUCAGUUUAUGAUUAAACCUGUUUUUGAAGGACUGGCUUAUAUCUCACCUUAACUACAAAUGGUUCUGUAUUGCCUUUUCCAGGAAAUGGUAAUGGCAUCUUUGUUCCAAAAACCGUAAUGAGUGUCUUGUAACCCUACCUUUGCUUCAAAAAGUUAUAAUGAUUACCUUGUUUUGACCACAUCUUAUGUCCUGUUUCUGUAACUGCCUAUUUUGCUUACCAAAUCCCCCAUUUUGACUAUCCUGAGUCAUAAAAACCUUGUCUACCUCAUAUCCAAAGCUGACCUCUUGAUUCCCACAUUAGGGGGAGGCAGCCUAUGUACUUAUUAGCUUGGCCAUGAUGAUUUGGGUCAGUAGUUUUUUUCCUUGCAUCUUUGGGAUUAACAUAUGGAGGCCCCAGCAAUAUCAAGACCCCAGUCCAAAUUCAGAAAUUCAGAAGCUGGACCCUUCCCUCUGGUCCUCCCAAACUGAAGAGCUGCUCGCUAGGGGGUGCAUACUUUGAAGACAUUCCAAGGUCCUGAGACAUCCCUUCAAUUCAUCAACCCCCUAAGCAAACAAGUGUAUCAAAAAAAGAAAAACAAGAAGCAUCUUUUUUUUCCAUUUUUUUAAAAAAGGCCUCUCCUGGUAAGUCAUAGGAACAUUUUUAACUUUGUUUUUGUGACAUCUGGUUCUGUUCUGAAUUUGUGGGAUCUUUCUCUGGGAAAGUGGGAAGAGCUGAUGAGAUUCAAUAUUCCUAGAUGCAGGGCAUCAAGGGAGAUGUCACACAGCCCGUUUUGUUAUCUCUGGUUACUUGGGAGUUUGGCCAGAGCUACCAAUUCCUUUUAUGACCGGCACUGGGAGACUGGGGUCUGAGAAAUCAGAGAGGCCUAACUUCUGAGUGCCCAUUGACAGGGUUUCAAUGCCUAGGGUGCACAGAAACCCUGAGGACCAUCUGUGAUACUGGGUGCCAAGAGAUUGGACAAGUUCAGCAUAGAAUGUCAGGUGUUACAGGGUAUUGAGACAGAAAUUAGAGAGGCCAGCCUAACUGAAUCACAGAAACUGAGACUUAGGAAUCCUCUGGUGGGAUCUCAACACUUGGGUUAUGCUAAAAACAUCUCUGUCCAAUUUAUAUACCCAGCCUUCUGUACAGAAAAAAAACAAUGUUCAUGCUUUUUAACUGAAAGCCAUGAUUCUACCCCAGCUCUUUUACAAACAUCUGCUGGCUGCUGCUCUUUUCUACAAUAUGGACUUUGAUGCAAAUUACAAACAAGCUUCAAGGAGUCAAGAAAGUCAGAAUAAGACUAAAAUCUACCUUUCCUAAUCUAACAGACUCCAGGCUAAAAGACCUACAGGUGAUACAGAAAGAAGUCUGGUCACAGCUGGCAGCAGCCUAUGCCCCGGGGACCCCCAAGACAUCUCAUCAGUUCCAGGUCGGAGACUCGGCUACAUACAAUGGCACCGAACCCAGAUACUCGAGCCUCACUGGAAAGGACCAUACCUGGUGCUGCUGACCACCCUGACAGCCAUCAAUUCUCAGCCCUCACCAGCCGUGUACUAGCUGUUGGGGCUGAGAGCUGGGACCUAGAGGGACACUCAGCAUGUUUGCCCUGGGUUCCAUCGAGAUAGGUAUAGAGAUAGGCUUGAUUUCUAUUACAAAUGAUGUAACAUUGCAUAUGUUAGUACUCCUAACACUUCUUGGGACUGUGCCUCAGGGAUCACAAUCUGUAUAAGUUUAGAAGUUCUAAAAGCUAGUCAUGACCUUGGUGUGUAGGUUUAGAUAGUGUCCAGAUUGGAAUCCUGAUGCUAAAGACUUAGUAAGAAAAAAAAAGGAGUUGAGAAUUACUUAAGGCUAUCUAGGUGCUGCAAGGGCAGCACAAGGACAUCUGCCAUUGCCCUGCAAUGCAAGGCUUAUAGAGAAUUCAGAACUGCCAUUGACUUAGAUAUAAAAAGAGUGAAAGACUUUUUAGCUGACCUCCAAGAAUACCUAACCUCCCUCUCAGAGGUAGUCCUUCAGAAUAGGAGAAGAUUAGACCUGAUAUUCCUUAAAGAAGGAGCCUGUGUGCUACACUGAAAGAAAAAUGUUGCUUCUAUGCAGACCAUUCAGGAGUAAUUAAAGACUCCAUGAAUAAACUUAGAGAAAGGUUAGACAAAAGACAGAGAAGCGCAUCAGGGAUGGUUCGAGAGCUGGUUUAGUAGAUCUCCUUGGAUGACUACUCUGAUAUAUUCCCUUAUGGGACCCUUCUUAGUUUUGCUUCUGCUUCUGAUUAUAGGUCCAUGUGUGUUAAAGAAACUAGUUAAUAGGUUUGACUCCUACAAAAAGAUAGAGAUGCUCAACAAGGUUGGUUUGAGUCUUGGUUCACUCGGUCUCCCUGGAUGACUACCCUACUCUCUGCUAUAGCUGGGCCAUUGCUAAUAAUUUUCUUGGUUUUAGUUUUUGGCCCCUGCGUGACAAACAGGUUAAUUGCUUUUGUUAAAAAAUUGAGUGGGUGCUGUGCGGUUAAUGGUUCUGAGACAACAGUACCAGUCAGUUAGGACAACUGGUGAAACCAAAUAUGAGAUUUUAUAUCAAAAUUCUAAGAUUAGAAUUACUUAGUAGAAGAAGAGGGGAAUGAAAGGAAAAUUAUACAGAUUUAAGGUUUAAAAAUAUGAAGUUAAAAGAAUAAGUUUCAAAAUUCAGACUCAGGGCUAAACACUGUGAAAAGCAAGUCCAGGCAGCCCCGCCCUGCCGCUAGGACUAACAGACCAUAAAGAUAAAGAAAAGGAAUGCAGGAACCAGCCCGAGUUAUCAGGACUGACUCUAACCAUCUGGCAGAAAGGCACCUCCCCCAGCUUACUCAGAGUCACACCUUAACCAGAUGUCCUUCAAACCCUAAUACACCCCUAGCUUCUAAAAUCCUGAACGCCCUAGUCAAUACGUACUCUCCUGCUGUGCUGUAAUCUCACUGCCAUGUUUAAAUGAGCCAAUCACUUAUAGCCGAACCAGAAAUUAACCAAUUGUGUGUAACCGCGCCAAACCCCCUAGCCUUCCCUAUAUAAACCCCUGACUUUUGAGCUUCGGGGUCGAUACCUCUGUCUCCUGCGCAGGAUACGUGUUGACCCGGAGAUCCCCGUAAUAGAUCUCCGUAAUAAACCUCGCCUUUGCUUAUUACAAAAAAAAGAAAGAAAGAAAGAAAAAAGAAAUGCUAUCAUAAGAGACUUGGGUGCCCCCGAAGUCAAUACCCACUAUGUUGUACUAAAUUCCCAAUAGGUAGAAUGCCUAUGGGACAGGAGACCAAAAGAUAGAGGUAGGAGUGGCCUUUUAAUCAGCAUUCCCCAAAACAUGUUUAAUCAGAGUCCUAUAAAAGCCAUUUCCAGGCAGGCAAACUUGUUCCACGGUUCAAGUCAAGGAAGAUAUAGUGUGGCAGUAGAGGGCUUGCCUAUCAUCCAUGAGGAUAUGUGUCCAACUCCCAGUACAGGAAAGAGGGUGGGACAGCGGGGAUGGGGGAAGGAAUCACAUCAGCCUAAAAAAUGCAGGGAAUCUACAGAAAUCCAUGCAGACCUCUUUGGGCUCACUAACAGCCCAUGACUGUGUCUCUUACGAAUACUUUCCCGGCCUCAGAAUUAAGCCUUGUGCAAGCUUCUGCCCCUUUCCAGACAGCAGCCUAUAGUAACAAUUAAUUGAUUUUAAAGCCAAACCUCUUUGCAUCUAGGUAAGACAGUUGAGUUUCCCCACAUCCAUGGCACCUCAUAGAAUGAAUUAAAGCCUCAGAUGCUGCAUGU